rnacentral:rRNA from 1 species
AGGGCGGACGGCCACAUUGGGACUGAGACACGGCCCAAACUCCUACGGGAGGCAGCAGUAGGGAAUUUUCGUCAAUGGGGGGAACCCUGAACGAGCAAUGCCGCGUGAGUGAGGAAGGUCUUCGGAUCGUAAAGCUCUGUUGUAAGAGAAAAACGGCACUCAUAGGGAAUGAUGAGUGAGUGAUGGUAUCUUACCAGAAAGUCACGGCUAACUACGUGCCAGCAGCCGCGGUAAUACGUAGGUGGCGAGCGUUAUCCGGAAUGAUUGGGCGUAAAGGGUGCGUAGGUGGCAGAUCAAGUCUGGAGUAAAAGGUAUGGGCUCAACCCGUACUGGCUCUGGAAACUGAUCAGCUAGAGAACAGAAGAGGACGGCGGAACUCCAUGUGUAGCGGUAAAAUGCGUAGAUAUAUGGAAGAACACCGGUGGCGAAGGCGGCCGUCUGGUUUGGAUUCUGACACUGAAGCACGAAAGCGUGGGGAGCAAAUAGGAUUAGAUACCCUAGUAGUCCACGCCGUAAACGAUGAGAACUAGGUGUUGGGGGAAUAACUCAGUGCCGCAGUUAACGCAGUAAGUUCUCCGCCUGGGGAGUAUGCACGCAAGUGUGAAACUCAAAGGAAUUGACGGGGGCCCGCACAAGCGGUGGAGUAUGUGGUUUAAUUCGAAGCAACGCGAAGAACCUUACCAGGCCUUGACAUCCCUUGCAGAGGUAUAGAGAUAUAUCCGAGGUUAUCAAGGAGACAGGUGGUGCAUGGUUGUCGUCAGCUCGUGUCGUGAGAUGUUGGGUUAAGUCCCGCAACGAGCGCAACCUUGUGAUAUGUUACUAACAUUGAGUUGAGGACUCAUAUCAGACUGCCGGUGAUAAACCGGAGGAAGGUGGGGAUGACGUCAAAUCAUCAUGCCCCUUAUGGCCUGGGCUACACACGUACUACAAUGGCGUCUACAAAGAGCGGCAAGCCUGUGAAGGCAAGCGAAUCUCAUAAAGGACGUCUCAGUUCGGAUUGAAGUCUGCAACCCGACUUCAUGAAGCUGGAAUCGCUAGUAAUCGCGAAUCAGCAUGUCGCGGUGAAUACGUUCUCGGGCCUUGUACACACCGCCCGUCAAACCAUGGGAGUUGGUAAUGCCCGAAGCCGGUGGCAUAACCCUUCGGGGAGUGAGCCGUCGAAGGCAGGACCGAUGACUGGGGUUAAGUCGGAACAAGGUA